rnacentral:precursor_RNA from 15 species
CACCAACUAUAAACACUGAUGGCUGCACUCAACAUUCAUUGCUGUCGGUGGGUUUGAAUCUGAAAUCAGCUCACUGAUCAAUGAAUGCAAACUGCGGACCAAACAACCCAAAGAAGAACAA